rnacentral:pre_miRNA from 1 species
GUAUUACUCCCUCCGUUCGGAAUUACUUGUCACGGAAAUGGAUGUAUCUAGACAUAUUUUAGUUCUAGAUACAUCCAUUUCCGAGACAAGUAAUUCCGAACGGAGGGAGUAGUUG